UACGUAGGUGGCAAGCGUUUGUCCGGAUUUACUGGGCGUAAAGAGCGCGCAGGCGGUCGUUCAAGUCGCGUGUGAAAGCCCCCGGCUCAACUGGGGAGGGUCACGCGAUACUGAUCGACUCGAAGGCAGGAGAGGGUAGUGGAAUUCCAGGUGUAGCGGUGAAAUGCGUAGAUAUCUGGAGGAACACCGGUGGCGAAGGCGACGUCCUGGACCGGCAUUGACGCUGAGGCGCGAAAGCCAGGGGAGCAAACGGG
rnacentral:rRNA from 1 species